GCACAAUGCAAGAUGCUGUGAUUCCACUAAGGGACCCUUGAGGGCGGUCACCGAACCCGUACAAAUGGCAACCCUUGGGGGCGGUCACCGAACCCGUACACGUGGCAACCCUUGGGGGCGGUUACCGGUACCCGUACAAAUUGCUCGGGGCAAUCUCCACAACCUAAUUGGAGACCCCGACGCUUCCCGGAGGUUCACACCACAAUGAUUGAGCUCCGAGA
rnacentral:lncRNA from 1 species